rnacentral:rRNA from 1 species
CCUACGGGUAGCAGCAGUCGGGAAUAUUGCGCAAUGGAGGAAACUCUGACGCAGUCACGCCGCGUGCAUGAAGAAGGUUUUCGGAUUGUAAACUGCUUUAGACAGGGAAGAAAGAAGACAGUACCUGUAGAUUAAGCUCCGGCUAACAACGUGCCAGCAGCAGCGGUAAUACGUAGGGAGCAAGCGUUAGCCGGAUUUAUUGGGUGUAAAGGGUUCGUAGGCGGAGAAGCAAGUUAGUUGUGAAAUCCCUCGGCUUAACUGAGGAACUGCAACUAAAACUACUUCCCUUGAGUACUGGAGAGAAAAGUGGAAUUCCUAGUGUAGCGGUGAAAUGCGUAGAUAUGAGGAGGAACACCAGUGGCGAAGGCGACUUUUUGGACAGUAACUGACGUUGAGGCACGAAAGUGUGGGGAGCAAACAGGAUUAGAUACCCGAGUAGUC